AUUGAACGCUGGCGGCAGGCCUAACACAUGCAAGUCGAACGAGCGGCGGACGGGUGAGUAAUGUCUGGGAAACUGCCUGAUGGAGGGGGAUAACUACUGGAAACGGUAGCUAAUACCGCAUACCAUCAGAUGUGCCCAGAUGGGAUUAGCUAGUUGGUGGGGUAACGGCUCACCAAGGCGACGAUCCCUAGCUGGUCUGAGAGGAUGACCAGCCCCACUGGAGCUGAGCUCAGGUCCAGACUCAUACGGGAGGCAGCAGUGGAGCAUAUUGCACCAUGGGCGCAAGCCUGAUGCAGCCAUGCCGCGUGUAUGAAGAAGGCCUUCGGGUUGUAAAGUACUUUCAGCGGGGAGGCGUUACCCGCAGAAGAAGCACCGGCUAACUCCGUGCCAGCCGCCGCGGUAAUUC
rnacentral:rRNA from 1 species